rnacentral:rRNA from 1 species
GACGAACGCUGGCGGCGUGCUUAACACAUGCAAGUCGAACGGAAAGGCCCUGCUUUUGUGGGGCGCUCGAGUGGCGAACGGGUGAGUAACACGUGAGUAACCUGCCCCUGACUUUCGGAUAACUCCAGGAAACUGGGGCUAAUACCGGAUAGGAGCUCCUGCUGCAUGGUGGGGGUUGGAAAGUUUCGGCGGUUGGGGAUGGACUCGCGGCUUAUCAGCUUGUUGGUGGGGUAGUGGCUUACCAAGGCUUUGACGGGUAGCCGGCCUGAGAGGGUGACCGGCCACCUUGGGACUGAGAGACGGCGCAGACGCCUACGGGAGGCAGCAGUGGGGAAUAUUGCACAGUGGGCGGAAGCCUGAUGCAGCAACGCCGCGUGCGGGAUAACGGCCUUCGAGUUGUAAACCGCUUUCGCCUGUGACGAACCGUGAGUGACGGUAAUGGGUAAAGAAGCACCGGCUAACUACGUG